AUGCGGGGCUUCACGUCUGGCCGGCUUUCCUGCACGUGUGUCCGAGCAGCCACGGCGGCAGGUGGCACGGGAGUGUCGCACGAGCGCCAGCAGCUGCCCCGGCGCGGCCUCUGCCCCCUCACCGCGCUGCUCGGCACAGGGAGGGCCCGCCACGUCUUGGCUCCCGGGGAUGUGUUUCCACGCCGCAGCCCCUCAGCUUCGUGGCUCCGGGGACAGGCGCGCAACGUGCAAAGCGAACGAAACAGAACAAAGGCUUCAGCAAAACAACGUGGUCGCUACCAACUUACAUUCGGGAGAACCCGUCACCGAACAGAGCAGGGCUGCCUCACCGACAUCCACCGAGCGGAGAAUCUCCGAAGAAUCACGCGCCCUGGCUCACGUGGCGCAGUCAUGCUGUCCGCACGGAGAGGAGACUGGCCUUCAGCAGACCUCCGUGGCUGGGGACCCCGCUCAGGCGGCCGGACAGAACGCCGCCGGCUGGGGGCUCCACCGUUGACUUCUCACGAUCCCAGAGGCCACGUCCAAGAUCAAGGUGUCAGUGAUCUGCCUUCCGGGGAGGGCUCUCGUCCUGGCUUUGCUGUGUCCUCAAGCCGCCUUUCCUCUUUCCUCAGUGGCAAGGGCAGGCAGGAAGUGAGCUCAUUAACCUGA
rnacentral:lncRNA from 1 species